rnacentral:rRNA from 1 species
GGGGGAUAACACUUGGAAACAGGUGCUAAUACCGCAUAACCAUAGUUACCGCAUGGUAACUAUGUAAAAGGUGGCUAUGCUACCGCUUUUGGAUGGGCCCGCGACGCAUUAGCUAGUUGGUGGGGUAAAGGCUUACCAAGGCAAUGAUGCGUAGCCGAACUGAGAGGUUGAUCGGCCACAUUGGGACUGAGACACGGCCCAAACUCCUACGGGAGGCAGCAGUAGGGAAUCUUCCACAAUGGGCGAAAGCCUGAUGGAGCAACGCCGCGUGGGUGAAGAAGGUCUUCGGAUCGUAAAACCCUGUUGUUAGAGAAGAAAGUGCGUGAGAGUAACUGUUCACGUUUCGACGGUAUCUAACCAGAAAGCCACGGCUAACUACGUGCCAGCAGCCGCGGUAAUACGUAGGUGGCAAGCGUUAUCCGGAUUUAUUGGGCGUAAAGAGAACGCAGGCGGUCUUUUAAGUCUGAUGUGAAAGCCUUCGGCUUAACCGGAGUAGUGCAUUGGAAACUGGGAGGCUUGAGUGCAGAAGAGGAGAGUGGAACUCCAUGUGUAGCGGUGAAAUGCGUAGAUAUAUGGAAGAACACCAGUGGCGAAAGCGGCUCUCUGGUCUGUAACUGACGCUGAGGUUCGAAAGCGUGGGUAGCAAACAGGAUUAGAUACCCUGGUAGUCCACGCCGUAAAC